rnacentral:lncRNA from 1 species
AAUAAAUAAAUAAUAUAUUUAAAUCAGAUACUCCGUUAUAAAAGAUAAAUUUAAAUAUUUCUCGCCUUUUAUUAAAUAAUACGAAAUAAAUUUUAUUCUCUAUAAAACCUUAAACAUGUAGAGAACGGUAUUUAAAUAUUUUUUAAGACUUUUCGCUAAGUCUAUAACGUGAACUAGAAUUAAAUAAAAAAAAUAAAUAAUAUUAGAAGCUUAACAUGACUUGAAUUAAUAAUCUUCUCCUCCAAUAUCAUGUUAAAUAAAUAAUACAAAACAAUCGUUAUUCUCUAUUAGGCAGCGUUUGGUUAGGGGAUAGGGAUAGGAAUAAGCCCUUAUCCCUUCCUUUAUAUCCAAACGCUAAUUAAUUUUUUACCCGAGAAUAGUAGUUCUCCGUUAUCCCAACCAACACCUCCAUUUUUUAUAUAAGACUACCUAAAAUUAUUCUUAUCCCCGGAAACAACUCAAUUUUCAUCCAAACACUAUUUUUCUUAUCUCCAUACUUGUAUCUAUUCCUGUAAUAGCUAGUUCUUACUUAUAUCCGAAUCAAACGGUAAAAGUUUAAAUUUGCAGUGGUAUAUUUUACUCAUAUUAUUAUUAUUAUUAUUAAUCUUUUAUAAUCAGACACAAAAAUUUGUGGGCUCGUGAUUAUUCUUUUACGAUCUCUCUCGAAUCAUUUAUGAGAUGUCGUCUGCAACUCUAGCCCUAAUAAAAGAAGGCCCUGAAGCAGCUUCAUUGCAUGAAUAUUUGGAUAGGUUGAUGCGCACGCAUUUUAAGGAAUGACGUGGGGUGAUACAUAUUAAUUUGGACGUGCUUUUACUAAAAAGGUGCAUAUGGUGCUGCGAACGAUGCGGAUACGUACGGGAGAAAAGGACGCUCAAUUACGUACAGAGACCAGCGACGGAGUUAGGUGGGAAAAAUUGUUUGGUGGAGAAAAAGUGUGACACUGUAACCUCAUAUGCGUUUAUUCCAUAUAUUAGAACUAAUAAAAUGUUUAAUCAAAAUUUUUAUUUAAGAUAAAUAUAUAUAAAGUUUUAAAAUUUUAUGUGAAAAUAUUAUUAUUAUUGUUAUUAUUUUUUAUGUGAAGAGAUAUUUGAAACGUAGAUAAACUGCACAUGGGAUGUAGAAAGAGUUAAAGAAAAAAGUGUGGGGCCAAAGGCUUUUACCGCAACGAAUGGUCCACGAGUGGAACGUUAGAUGAAUAGACCCACCGCACACGUGAUCUAACUCAAUACUAUAAAAAGAACCAAAAAAAAAAGUAGAUGAAAAAUAUGGUAACAUUAACGGAUCUAAUUUGAUUAAAUUUUAUAGUAAGUAAAUAAUAAGGAGACUCAAUAAACGCCACAUUAAUUCUUCAGAAACUUCCUCCUCCAGUAACAGUUAAGUAAUGUCAACUACACAUGCAAUGCUUCAAAUAUAGUUAUCAUUGCCUUGAGUUUUCCACCAAAACAAUCCUUCCAAGGCCUAAUAAUUUUAACAAAACACAAUUAUAGAGCAAAUUUUCGGUUUUUCGCUCCGCCCAAAACAUACGAUUAGGCCAGAUUAUGCCAUCAGGAAGCCACAGCAAUAUAGUUAAGUAGCAAUUAUCUUAUCUAACUGUGCUUAGAGAGAAUUGACUCGACUACCCCGCGAGCUAUGGGGUGGUAACACUCGCGACCCUCCAUGAAUAUCCUCCUCGCGAGCAUCUUCUCCUCGUCGCCGCCGGACCCGCUAACCAGGGCGGUGUAGAGGGGGCGGAGGUACUUCAUUCGUCCCACUUGCUUUAGAGUUUUCUCGACCUCGUCAAAGUAGUCCUUGCAGUUGCAUGAGAUCGCCAGCUCGAGGAACGCCACCUUCACUUCGUAGUCACGGCUCUCCGAUAGCCGGUACCGCGCGUCGAGGGCUGCAAUCUGCAUGAAUGGAUGAUGGAAAGAUUACAAACAUAUCACUGAGAAAAUCUGAGUUUUUUGCUGUAUAUGCACCUUAAGUAAGAUAAUCACAUAAAAAGAUCUCCUCUGCUAAAAACACAGGUCAAUUUGGGAAAAGAGAAGCUUCGAGACAUCGAAGAUCCUACUAUGCCUGCACUUGGGAUAUUUAAACCCAAAAUAGAAGUAUGAGAUGCAACUCUGAAAGUAGAUAUUGGAAUGAAAAUAGAAUUCGGAAACAAGGUUAUUAAUGAACAUAUACUGUUCAUGAUUCUUAUAGAAGAAUAUGUUUUUUAGGAGGCGAAUGAGAGAGAAGCUGGAUAAAGGUGCUUGCAAACAAAGGUACAGAGAUGCUUUGAGGUGAUGUAAUGAUUUGAGGUGGUGUUAGUGUUAUCAUAAUGCCACAAAGGGGGCCACAAAUAUUAAAGAUGAGGAAAGAAAAUGCACACAGACUAAUAAAAUUUGAUUUGUAAAGUAAAGAAAAGAACAAAUACCGCACUAUGGACUAGUCAAAAGGUUAUAAGAGAGAGCACUGAAAAGCAAUGGAUUAUAGACAGAUUCUGAUAUUAGAUGAAAUGCAAAGUGAAGUGUUAAGACAAAGCAAGAGAACAAGAUAAAGAGAUAAACUGACGGGACGAUAAGAGUGAAAUAAAAUUACAAAUGAUAACAAGAAUUGAGAUUUAUAAAUUGCGCAAUCCAAAAGUAUGUGCAUCAAUAUACUUGUAUGUAAUGAGUAAGUUACUAUUCACAUGCUCCCAAUUCAGAACAACUGCAAACUGAUGAUUGCUCAAGAUAUUAAAGGAUUAUAUUCUCAAAAAAGGAUAUCAUUAGAAUCUGAUUCUAGAUGCAAAGAAAUGAUGAGACAAAGUACGAGGACUAUGCGAAGCAAUAAACAGGUGGCAAGAUAAAAAGCAGAAUGAGACUUCACAUGAGACUUAGAAUAAAUUGUAAAUGGGUUAGUUACAAAAUCAAUCUUUGAAAUUGACUCGCAUUCCAAUUUCGUCCGCAGAUUUUCAAUCACACAAAUUUAGACCCUGAAGUUCAACCCUGAUUUCAACACCCUCCUUUGAGUUUCAAUUUGAUCCCCAAAGUGCAGAUCUCUGCUUCAAUUUCGUCUCUGAAGUCACUCGCAUGAUACUUUUUUAUACAGUAAACUACUAGAGAACAAACUUUAAGGACCAAAUUAUUACACAGUUGAAACCAUUGGGGAUGAAAUUAAAAUCAAGGCCAAAGUUCGGAGCUAAAUGUAAUUAACCCGCCUUUUAUUGUGUAAUUAUAAGUAUGUCCUAAUGAUUUAAGUCACAAUUCACACAUCCAAAUACACAACAAGUGCAAAUUAUUGAUUAUGCAAGACAAGAUAAUGGAAAAUACUAAUUCCAGAAAAAGGACAUAAAUUUAACCUGCGAGGCUUCAACAGAUUUGGGCAGAUUCUCCAAGUAAAGCUCCCACUCCUGUCCGCUCCAAUCUGCCACCUCGUCCUCUCUCGGCAUCCUCCCAUUCUUAAACUCCGAAGCCAACAACUUGAUUUUGGUAUAAAUUACCGAAACGGGCUCCAUAGCAUCUGGUGGAAUCCCUGUGCCUUCUACCCACAAACGAAGAUCAAUUUGAUUCUCUAUUCCCGGCACAUUGGCCUUUAGGAAUUCAAGAAAUGUUUCAGUGUCGAUCGACUGGAACUUGAAAGUAGCAAUGUACUUCUUCAGGAAUUCAUCAAACGCUAGGCGCCCAAUCUAAGAAUUCGGACAGAGAAGGCAAGAAAAUUACAACAGAAGUUAAGAGUAUCUAACUGCUAGUCUGGCCUAACUUCUUGAAAAGCUUCACUACUCUAGAAAGCAGAAGCUUCUGGGAUUCAGGAGCUUGGCUAACAAAAGUCUAGAACUUUGUUGUGGUGAGAAGCUAAAAUGCACUUUUGGACCCCAAAGGAUUAUGCUUCAGUUGUAACUAGAAGCUAAUUGAGGAGAUUUUGACGGAAAGGAAAUUAGUGCUUCUACAAACAGCAUACUCGAACAACAUUUCUGUAGGAGCUCCGCUGGAUCAAAUAAGCCACAAGUGUACAAUUGACCUGUGGCUUCUAAAGCAGCUUCUUUGGUGUCUGCAAACAAAAGUUCAGGAGCUUCCAAUAAACGGAAAUGAGACUUUUGGGCCUGCUUCAACUAGAAGCCUUUUAGCUUCCCGCUUGAGCAAGAAGCUGUUGGGAAAAUUUUGAGGGGGAAAAAAAAAUUCAAGUCUUAUACAAACAGUCCUACUCAUGGAACACUUCAACAAAAGCUCAACCAGACCAAACGGAAUGCGUAAGUUGGAAGGUCCAGAAAUAUAACGAGCAAUGUUUUCUUUUAUAUUUUUCACCUGCCGUUCAAUUCGCCAGAGAAAUUGGAAUCCUUUCUCAUAGGGCACUUCCGAGUAGACAUCAUCUGGGUCAAUCCCUUCCAUUCUCGGCUUCAGUUUCGUAAAUUCCAUGUUGUCCUUGAACCUGUCCAUCAUUCUGUUCAAACCCCUCCACCCAAUGCCCAUGUUAAGAGCGGCCCGCUCCUCUCCCUGCACCACCUCCACUAUUCUCCUUUCUGCAUACGUCGUGAAACCCUAACAGGCAUUUCAAUGGAAAAUUGAUGAGUAUUGGUAAAAAGAAUACAGGGUACAGUGUAGAAAUAAACCCUGUACUAUCCGGAUUUUGCAAUUUAUACCCUGAGCUUGAAACUUAAACACAUAUGCCCCUGAAUUUCUACCAUCACAUACUGCAGUUCCAACCCUGCCCGUCAAAAAAGUUGAUGUUUUUUUCGAGUUAAAAUGACUAGCAUAAUACUAUUAAAUUACUUGUUUUAAUGCACUCAAAACACGGUUGAUCAAAGCCAUUCUAUGAAAAAAAAAAAAAAAAACCAAUUCUUUUCAGAUCUUUUUAGCAACAAAGGAUAGAAUUGUACGCUCGGAGAGAAAUAGAGAAAAGGAAAGAUCCAAACAUUGACUGGGGUAGAAACAUGGAAAACCCUAACCUCGUUGAGCCAGAAAUCGGAGUGGGUCUUGUUGGUGAUGAGGUUCCCGGUCCAGCUGUGCGCGAGCUCGUGCGCGACCACCUGCGCCCCGGAGGCGUCCCCCUUGAUCACCGUCGGGGUGAGGAACACCAUCCGAGGGUUCUCCAUCCCGCCGUAGGGGAAGCUCGGGGGGAGCACCAAAAGGUCGAACCUUUCCCACUCGUAGGGCCCGAAGAGGCGCUCCCCGACCCGGAUCAUCUCCUCCGCCCCGGCGAACUCCCUAGCGGCGGCGUCGAGCACGUCGGGCCCGCCCUCCACGUAGACGCGCGUCCGCGGGCCCACGUCGCGCGACGCGAUCUCCCCGGCAGCGAAGGCGAAGAGGUAGGGGGGGAUGGGCUGGUCCAUGACGAAGUGCUCGACGACGCGGUCGGGGGCGCACCAGAGGGCGUCGGGGCAGGCGGCGGAGGCGGCCUCGCCGGGGAGGGGGUCGCGGCGGGCGAGGUGGGCGGCGGCCAUGACGGCGGAGAGGGGCUUGGGGAGGUUGAGGAGGGCGGAGAAGCGGAUGCGGGCGGCGGGGGUGUCGUGGCAGGGGAAGAUGGAGCGGGCGUGGAUGGGCUGGCACUGGGUGAAGACGAAGGGGUGGGCUCGGGAGGAGGUGAGGGGAGGGGGGAGCCAUUGGAGGGCGGAGGAGGAGGGGGAGGUGGAGAAGGAGAGGAGGAAGGACGAGUGGCCGGAGAGGGAGACGGAGAGCGGGGAGCCGAGUACGGGGUCGGACUCGUGCGCGGGGACGGGGAGGGAGAAGGGGAGCGGGGAGAGCGUGAGGGGGUCGGAGGCGGCGGCGACGGAGAGGAGCCGGGUGUCGAGGAGGAGGUCGCCGGAGAAGGGCGCGGAGAGGGUGAGCAGCGCCGACCCCAGGAUGGUCGACGACGAGAAGUCCAGGUACAGGGACAGCGCCGCCGACGUCACCAGCGGCUGCGACGCGUCCGCAUACGAAUGCGGGUCUAUGCGGCCCAUUGCCUCUCUGAUGUAUGACGAGGACUAGAGACUAGAGAGAGAGAGAUAGAGAUCAAAGAUGUAUGCGACCGAGACCCAGUGGGGACGCUUCGGUUCGUUUUGGCGUUGUAUCUACCUAUAUAUGUACACACAUGCGGGCGCGCGCACCCAGAGAAGAAGUCGAGAAACAUGUGGGGACCCACUGAGUGUUCGGAAAUGUUGCCCGCACCUGGUGCACCCCGUCACCCGUGGACCGCCAAAUUGUCCUUUCGAUGCAUCUUAAUUUACUCUUUCAAAUUUGCAGGCGAUAGGACCAAAUGCCGAAAAAGCAUUGAGCAAGCUGUGGCUGCUUUUGCAUAAAGAAACUUUCUAUUAAAAAUAAAUAAAUAAAUAAAUUUGGAAAGAUGCUUGAAAAUGAAAUAACCAGGUGCAUAAUGAUAUUUUUUUUUCUUUUUUUUUUUUUUUUUUUUUUGAGAGAGAGAGGUAGCACGCUACCCGCUUCAUUUAGUUCAUUUAGAAAUAAACUUAGCUGAAAAUAUGAAUCAACUAGAAUUCGAAUUUGGAUCUCGGGUACCAACCACCAAACCUUUUGCCACUUUCUCUAUGGACGGUCGGUAGGUGCAUAAUGAUAUCGAUGAGACUUUACGAAGAUUUGCUAUAUGUGAUGUAUCUUAGGAAAUCUUAAAUAGACGAAUACAUUCUAAGAAUUCAUAAUAUGCAAACGUUAAGGUGCCCAAGCACUGUUCAUUUUUAACCAUCUCGCAAAGACUCUCCAGAAUUAGGAUAUAGUAAGGAAACAAGAAGGUAUUAUUAUUAUUAUCCAGGUAAAACAGCAGGAUCUAUUGGCUCCUCAUAGAUGAACUUACAUAUACAUUUGGAGCUUUCAAUCUCAUUCGAAUUUGAUCACCUGUUUCGGAUGGCUUCCUAGUUUUCCAAGAGCCUUAUCGAGUGCCGUGUUGAAAUCCUCGAAAGGAACCAUUUCCAUACUGCGAUAAAAUGCCUCGAUUAAUCAGUUUCAUCGCAAUAAAGUAAACAGCAAGUUCGAAUUGUAGCAUAAUAGAUAUAAGCUAAACAACACGAUCGGAUUAAUCUACAAGUUGUCCUUAAGCACUCCAAUAACCGCAUUUUGGUCUCUUAUCAUUCACGUAAACAGGUUAGCCCCUAGACUAACCAAAAUUCGUUCCAUCCAAAAUUUCUAAUAUUUGUUUGUUGUUUCAAACUGCUAGCAAAAGAUAGAGAUUUCGGAUGACAAAUCAAGCUACAGAUGACACUGCAAGAAAUUAUGGAAGUUCAGGGAUUGAUUUGUCUAAAGCAAAAGAAUAGGGACCAAAUUGGCAUUCGUUGAAAGCUUACGAACUACCAGCACAUUUUACCCUAAAAUAUUUUUUCUGGUUUAGUAUGGAGGGGAUUGAUAAAACAUACUCAUAUUUCAGCUUGCCAUGGUGGACUAAGCUCAAGAGGUAAUCUAUCAUAGUUUGGCAAUCUUUUGCCUUGUCGGAACUCAUCCACUUCUGCAACCAAAACCCUCGCAGAGAGAGAUCCUGAAGGAAAAAAACAAAUUUUGAAUCACAUAGUCUACAUGCUGAUCCAAAUUGCAACUUAAACACGAGUAACUUAAGACGAUUGUUGGGAUAACAAACAAUUUAGUUGCAUAGAAAACGGUAAUGGACCUGACCUUAAAUAUAAAGGAUGAAGUAGAUACAGUGAUAGGCUUCUUCGACAUCCCACCAUAUGUUACCAUAGUGCCCCCCUGCCUGGAACAUUAGAAACUGCAUAGCUUUAUUCUUAAUAGAUAAAGAAGAAAUAUUACCUGAGACAAAUAUUUCCGAUUGAUCUAAGUUACCUCAGGAACUUUAGGACCAAGGAAGCCGCAUUUCCCCCAACACAGUUAAAUCCUAAGGCAGGUUCUGGUAUGUCAACCUAGAAAUAAGAAAAGAAUAAAGGAUAGACAAAAGUAAGAUUGGCGGAAAGUGUACAUUGGACAUUCAAGCCCUUUACUUCCAUGAUAUUGCAACUUAAUCCAUGGAAUUUUCACUUGAACAAUUUAGCCCAUGAAUAUGCCAUUUAAGUUAGAAGUUGAAGGGACUAAGUUGUGAUAUGACAGAAGUACAAUGACGUUGCACAAAUUUCUGCUCAAAAACAGGGGAAAGUGAUGCUACUAUUUACUAAUUAAAGACACCGGAAAUAACUAUAUCCAGGUAUACAAAAAGCCAAAUAUAUCCAGGUAUACAAAAAGCCAAAUAGGAACUCUUAUGUCAACUCUAUGUAGAAAACAGGGAAACAAAAUAGCUACAAGCCAGUCCCACAAAUUAUUUAUAAUCAAAAGAAUUGCUACCAGGAGGCUCUUAACAUUCUUCACUUCCAACUGGCUCUCCAUAUACACCUCACCCGCACCAAGUUUCUUUAGUCUCUCUUUAACUUCUUCUGAUUCAACUCUAGAGGUAUAUACAAUACAAAGAAAAAGAUUAGUAAGUUAUCACUAACGGAUAGAAAUUGGUUGAAGUUCAUAAAAUAUGCAAACUCAAAAAGUUUCAAACUUAGCACCUGUCUCUAAUGAUAUUUAUGCUAUGCACUCCCUGGAUUUUAGCUAGCUGGAUAAUGCACUGCCCAACAAUACUAGUGGCACCAUUUUGGACAAUACUGUCGCCUGAUCAAGUCCACUAGAUUAUUAGCAACAAAAAACACAUCUGUCAAUUAAAGGAAAUGUUUUUAAUUAUAAAAAGCACCCGAAUUCAGUUUCACGAAGUCUUCUAGCAUUCUCAGUGCAGUCAAAGGAUUCACUGUAACAGUCGCAGCAUACUCCACUGGUACAUCCUUCCUGAUUUUGUGCCAGACACCCUCUUCUUUCACAAUGUAAGUUUGCCAUGUUCCUGAGUAGGACAUAUAUUCCCCAUUUUGUGAGAACUAUAGAAUGGGCAUAGAAUUAGUUUCCAUCAACGGCCAUAAAAGGAUUAUGCAAGACAAAAAGGCAAAAUUGCAGAAAAACCUUGCACAAAUCAUUAUUUUUCAUUUUCGCCCGAAGAAUAGUGAACACAUAUAUUACCCCUUUAAAGUGCAACUCCAUUGUUUGUAGUGUACUAUUGCUUUGCUAAUACAUAAUGGAUCAAUGGAAUAAAAUGUAGAUUUUAUUGCUUCAAGGGGCAAUGGAAAAUUUAUGAUAUGUUUCAGGGAUUUUCUGAAACUUAGUUACUACAGAGAUUUCUUUAACGAAAGUGAUAGAUGUACAUCUAUGAAAUAAGUAACUAAAAUACCAAAAGAUGGAGGUGAUGGUAUGACCCAGUCGCCAACUGAGAGACUGCUAACUGCAGACCCCAAUGCAUAUACUUCCCCAACUCCUUCAUAUCCUCCAAUCGCAGGCACUGGAGGCCUUACAGGAUAAACCCCUACAAGGAGGGAAAAAUAAUAAUAAUACAAGGAAAAAAAAUGAGAUACCAGAUAUGGAGGUAGUGAAGCUCUUAAGAUCUAUAUCUUAUGUUGUAGAAAUUAUGUGACAAAAAAUUAAAAAUAAAUUUGUAUAGACUGCUAUUUAGGCGGCAGAGAAUAAAUUAUCAUAACAAGUAUUCAUUUGAUAGAACCACAUUGAUACAACAUACUUCCUUGUAUCUGUCAACCAUGUGCAACCCAUUUAGUGUGUUUGAAAAUUUUUUUUUUUUCAUUGGGCCUAAUAGGAUGCUAAAAUUAAUUGUAUGAUGAUAAGUUGUAUUAGAUGGGAGAUAAAGUUUUGUUGUUAAUUUCAAUUUUUUCCGGAUUUUUAACUCCAACCACAAAAUGAUAUGUGAUAUCCUACAAAAUUGGAUACCUUAACCUGUUUGCUCACUUGUGGGCAUUGGCAUUAUAUCUCCCAAAAAACCAACAAUAAAAAGCCCCGUGAAUAAGCUUCUCAAAAGAGGGGGGAAAAAAGUCCCCAUAAUAAUAUUGGGAAAAAUAUUCUAAACAUUCAAGAGAAAAAAGAAUCAUUCAUCCGAACAAAAAGGAACUUUUCGAGAAAUUAGAACGAAUUAAAAAAACAUAAAAUGUGCAAAAAAAUAAAAUAAAAACAUAAGGCAGCAUGUUCUUACAGCAACCCAAAAAUGAUUUCCUAAGCUCCAAGCGAACAACAAAUUAAAUGUGAAAAACGAAAAAAGAAACUACUGCUAGAAGUAGAGCUAUAAGGAAUCGAACCUUCUACUCUAUUGAUAUCCGAAGGAUUGAUCGGCGCAGCCAACAUUUUGACACACACAUCGUUUGCUUUCAAUUCAACAGGUGGAAGGUCAAUAACCCUACAAAAUUUUGUUGAUAAUCGCUUGUUCAGUGACAAGUACAAAAUAUCUCAUGCAUCCACACUUUCAAAUACUCAUUUCAGCGAGCCUCAGGCUCCGGCAAAAACAAUAAUGCUGAGUUGAGAAGCAGAAGCUCAAAUUUGGAGCUUCCCCUACUAAGACCCUCGAGGGUGAUGCAAAUCAAGUUGCUACUGCUUCUCCAAACAGCACUUCUCGAGAAGACACGAUCUCACUACGAGAAGAGAAUUAAAAAAAAGCUAGGGUUCCGCGCAAUACCUAGUGACCUGAUCGGGGGCGCCGUGUUGCUCGUACACGACGGCCUUGGAGGGAGGGGAGAGAGGCGCGGUGGAGAAGGACGCGCGGAAGGUGUUCGACGAAAUGCGCGAGAGAGAUUGGGUCGGUCGUUUAUAUAGCCCCAGCCCUAGACACCUCAGAGACGGUCGCAGAGAAGCCAUUAUGCGGUCUCCGGUGAGCGGCGGAGGAGCGCGGCUCCGUGGAGUCGGAGAUCGACUCGCCUAGUGGCGAAAUUAGACGCAAGCGUUUAUUUCCUUCCUAUUUUAUCCCUCGGAGUCGGAUGUUGACAUUUACAAGUUUGUCCUUCUAAUUUGAGAACAUUGUAGUGGCGGUCCAUCUACCAUGGGCCGGUAGGGCUGGCAAAUGAACGAGCCCGCCCGUGUUUGACUCGCAUUCAGCUCGGUAUUCAGUUCGGGCGAGUUCAACUUAAAAUUAAAUGAGCCCAUGUUGACCAAAAAAAAAUUUCAAAGUUUAUUUCAAGUCGAGCUUAAGUAUUAUUAGGCUCACGCGAAUUAGGCAAACUCAAAAAGCUCCAACAUAAUUAAAAAUAUUUAUAAAUAUGCAUAAUUAUAUAUAAUAUAUAUUUUAAUGCGUAAAGCUACUAUAUUAUCGGAUGUAUAGAGAAUUUGAUAUUUUCGAUUUUUUCAUCCUUGGAUCAAAAUUUGUACAGUUGGGAUGAUUGCGGCUCCCCUAGGAUUGAGUAGUACCCCUAGGGUUGAAUGGCCACUAUAGGAUAAUAGUAUUAAUUCAAAUGUUAGAAAUGAUUAAAUCGACUGAUCUAAGAGCCAAAAAGUCGAAAGCACUAUAUCCUCUAUGCUUUUGAUAGCAUAGUAGAUUUACUCGAUUUUAAUUAUAUAUAAAAUUAUAUAUAUUAGAGGCCCACAAAAUUAAUAUAGCAAAACCCUACUCUAAUUACUCUUUCUUCCUCUCUUUCACUUGCUCACAUAGUCACUUUUUCUCAAUUAUUUUUCUUAAUAUUCUAAUAUUGUAUUCGUGCAUUUAUUUUGUAUGUUAAAUUAUUAGACAUAUUUUUGUCUCAAAUUUUAAAUAAUUUUUAUAAAAAUUAAAGGCCUUUUUGCAUAAAAAAUCCACUUAUUUUGGGCUUUUGCAAAAUCGGGUCACUUUUUUCGUUUUUGCAGAUUCGGUCCGUUUUUCCAGUAAACUGACCAAAAUACCCAUAUUACUUUUUCUCUUUCCUCUUUCUCUCUCCUCUUCGUUUCUUCCGUUCUCUUUUUUUUUUCGUCGAGCCCGCCGCCGAGCCCCUCCUCCUCUCCCCGGCCGCCGCCGCCGAGCCCACCCCCACCGUCGUCUCCGUCGCCGUCGCCGUCGCCGAGCCCACGUCCCGCCCCUUGCCGACCGCCUCGUCACCCUCCAAUCGCCUCGUCACUCCCCUUGCUGAGCCCUCGUCACCCCCACCGUCGUCUCCGUCGUCGUCACCGUCGUCUCCGUUACCGUCGCCAAGCCCACGCCCCAUUAAUGGUGUAAUGGUGCAAUGGUGCACCAUUACACUAAUGGUGCAUCAUUGUUACACCAUUACCAUUAAUGGUGUAAUGGUGCACCAUUACACCAUUAAUGGUGUAAUGGUGCAAUGGUGCACCAUUACACUAAUGGUGCAAUGGUGCACCAUUACACCAUUACACCAUGAAAUUACACCAUUAAUGGUGUAAUUGUGCACCAUUACACUAUGAAGAAGAAGAAGAAGCAGCCGCAACGCGCCUGCGUGCCAGCCCGCUGCCGCUGCGUGCACCGGCCCCGCCACCGACCCGGCCCCGCACCGCGGCUGCGCGCCCCGCGCCAGGAGCAGCCCGCGAUCAGCGCCUCCCCCGCCGCCGCCGACGCCUCAAGCGGCGUCGUCGGCCCGCGGCCCGGGGGCUCGACGUUGGCGCUGAACUCCAGCAGCAGCUGGACGAGGUCCGGCCGGCCUUGCGCGAUGGCCGAGUGCAGCAGGCCGACGCCGGACGCGUCGACGGCGUCGGCCGGGCGCCAAUCCGGGUCGCUCCGCUCCAGCCGCCGGCGACGAACUCCGCAGCCUCUUCCUCCGCCGCGCCGCCGACAGCGACGACGACCGCGGCGGCGGACGAGGGGCUCGGCGACGGAGACGACGGUGACGGCGGCCAUGGGGCCGCCGCCGCCAUGGCCGUGGGCUCGGCGACGGCGACGGAGACGACGGUGGGGGUGGACUCGGCGGCAGCGACGGGGGAAAGGAGGAGGGGUCGUGGGCGGUGGAGAGGAGGGUGAGGAGGGAGGCAACGGUGAAGAAGGAGGGUGAGGAGGGAGGCGAUGGUCCGAUCCGCCUCUUUUUUUUCGGCGAGAAAAAAAAAAGAACGACAGAAACGAAGAGGAGAGAGAAAGAGGAAAGAGAAAAAGUAAUAAAGGUAUUUUGGUCAGUUUGCUGAAAAAGCGGACUGAAUCUGCAAAAACGAAAAAGGUGGCCCCGUUUUGCAAAAGUCCAAAAUAAGUGAAUUUUUUAUACAAAUUGGCCAAAAUUAAACUAUACUCGUUUAAGACUCAAACUUACUCGACUUGAAAUUAGGCUUCGUUUAAGACUCGAGCUUAUUCGACUUGAAAUUAGGCUUUGGUUGAGCUCGGCUCGAAGUAAUUUCAACCUGAGCUUGAGCCUAAAUUUAAAUUCAAAAUUAAUUUCAAACCGAGCUUGAGCUUAAGUAAGCUCGCUCAAGCUUGGCUCAUUUCCAUCCCUAAGGCGGGGUUGUAUCUUACAUUUUGGUACAAAUUUAUGUUUUCAACAUUUUAUUUUAUUUUAUUUUUUUUGGUUCUCAAUAAGGAAGCGUCUACACAGAUUAGGGAUGUAAUGACGGCACGGCCCACAUUUUCCGGGCCGGAACGGGCCGCGGGCCAGCACGACGGCCGGCCCCAAUAAUCGGGCGGUGCGUGCCGGACAGCCAAGUUUUUGGAACCGCCAGCACGGCCCUUCCGCCCGGACUGCAGGCCGUGGACGGGCCGGCCGAGGCGGCCGGCCGGGCGGCCGAGCUUUCGGACAGCUCUUUUAUAUUUAUUAAUUUAUAUUAAAAAAUUUAAAUUUUUUUUUAAAAAAAAUAUAAAUAUUUAAAAGAAUAUAUAUUCAGUAAGAAAAAAUAAAUUGAAAAAUAUUUAUAAAUAUUAAAAUUUCAAAUAUUAAAAAAUUUAAUUUUGGGGACAAAGAUACCCUCCCAACGAGUCAAAUAUUUUGAGCUGUGGGAAGGGCAUUUUAGUCCAAGCCCAACUCCCAAAGCCACAGCCCAAUCUUUGACUGUUGGGAGUCCCAAAGCCACAUGCCACAGCCCAACUCAUUGGGAGUUGGUGCCUCCCAAAGCAUUGGGAGUUGGUGCAGGGCCUUGGGACCCUGCCUAGGCCCGGCUCGGGAGGGCCCAAGCCUAUGUCGUGCCGGGCCGUGCCGGGCCAUCGGGCAGCGGGAGCAAGGCCCAGCACGGCCCGAUUUAACUGGCCGGGCCGGACCGGGACGGCACGCUACAGUACUCGUGCCGUGCCUGGCCCGGCCCACUCCUGUGCCGGGCUGGGCGGGCCGCGGGCCGCCCGGCCCGUUUGACACCCCUAACACAGAUGCAAUACAAAUGUCCAUUUCUAUAAUUUGGUUGAUAAUAAAUUAAAUACGUCCAUAACUCUAUUUUUUAUUUAUUAUAAUUGAUUUCACUCUAAAUGAUAUCAUUAUAAGAAGAAUAGAAACAUUAAAAAUAAAAAAAAAUAUUAUAUAUUUUUUUUUAUUCUAAGUGAUAAUGUAACUUUUUUUUUAGUAAAAUAAUUAUAAAAAUCAUAAUGAUCGGAGUUUCUAAGUCCUUGACAUAUCAUCAAACAAAUUAGGUUAGAAAAAAAAAAUCAUCUAAAUUUUAGUUUAAUUAACCUAAAAACUACUUAUAGCCUAAUAUCAACCGCUAUUUUCACCUUACGAGCCUAAUAGGAACAUUUCAAAACACAAAGACUAAAGUAAAACUGGAAUUGGUGUCAUUCUUAUGAUUCCGAGGAUUAUUCUUUUCGUUUGCAAUCCGAUUCUACGUAUAGAAACAAAAUUACCAUCAAAUCCAAACUUUGAAACGAGUAAAUAUAUAAUCUUUAACUCUGAAGCCACCUUUUAAUCAAACUCCACUCUGACACUAAAAAUCAGCGAGAAAAGACGAUAAAUGGUAAGCAAAGAUGAUUGCGAAGAACAAAGCUCUCUAAAAAAAGUGCAUUUCAAUCUAAUAAAUACAAUCAACCGUACCUGGAGCAAGUGGCAAAGGACUUGGUGAUUGAUAUCCGAGACCCAAGUUCGAAUUCUGAUUGAUUCAAAUUUCUAACUAAGUUUAUUUCUAAAUGAAAUAAACAAAGCGGGUAGCAUGCUAUCUAUCUCUAAAAAAAAAAAAUCUAAUAAAUACAUCAACGAAACAUACAUAAUUGCAAACGUCUUUUAAUUAAUAUUGUUACUGCAUCGUUUUUUUUUUUUUUUUUUUGAGUUAACACUGUUUAACUUCAAAUUUUACAGUAAUACAAACUUUGAUAAACAAAUUCCAAGCUACAGAGCAAGCUCGUCUAUUCUACACACAUUAUACGUACAAAUCUUUACCCAAAAAUACCUAAUAAAAACUACUAUUCACCAAACACACUCCACCUGCAACAAAACCAAAUUAAUCAUAUCCAAAAAGAGGACCAAAGCAACCAAAAAAAAAAAAAAAAUCUACACUCGUGCCAUCAAGCCGCGUGCAUCAUACACUCGUGCCAUCGCCCGUGUGCGUCGCACGUGCCAUGGUAUCCCACUAUGACACGAUCCCACCCUCUUCGCUUCUACGUUGGAGCGUCGUUGUAGCGUGGAGUGAUGUACGCUUUGUACGACCCCGCAUACUUACUUACUUGUAUAUAUACACACGCGUGGGGAGGUGCUUUAACCACAGUAUAAUUACGUUUCUGCCCUUCGGUAUAAAGUGGUGCAAAGUAAAAUUAAUGGUGAUAAUACAGAAAAUCUAGCAUUGGGUAAAUACGUAAAUAAUUCUUUAUCAUUACCCGAUUUUUUUUUUGUUAACAAAACUGUAUUAGGGCAUAAAUAGCAAAUAUGUUAGACUAAUAGCAACUUUUAUAUAAAUUAGUAGACUUAUGAUCAUUAUUGAAAAAUAUUGAAAGAUGAAAUACAUGUUACAAAUAUAAUAAUUAUUAUGAAAAUUAAGAUGUAGGGGGGAUGUAGAGGGGUGUAGGGUAGUUCAGUAAUUUCAGUGGUACAGGGGCUACUUGCGAAAGAAGAUGUUCUUAAGCUGAGUGGGCCCCGAAUCGAACCGCGGCGUCGGUGACGAGGCUCCCUGAUCUAGCACGUACGCGACACGUGGCAAUCACCGCCAUUGAGUUGCAGGAGCUGGCCCCACCGCUGUCGCUCCUUUUAUUCGCACGCCCGUGGAGCGUGCAAUGCCACUAAGAAACCGCAACGUGUCCCCUUCUAUCAAUUCAAGUGGCUGAAAACGGUGUUUCGUGCAUUGAAGAAAUGCACCGGAUCCUAGACAAUGGAGUGGGUGGAAAUUUUGCACGAACGUGGUUCACCACGUAGACCGUAGACCGCACUAUCUUUAAAUUACAGAUUUUACGGAGGCUUGUGAUGACGUGGUGAACCACGCUCACGAGAUGUUUUCCCCACGGAUUGACGAGAAGCAUUUUUGUCGGAUCGAUCGGACGGUGGGCGUAGCUCGCAGCUUAUGCAAGCUCGACACGUGGAGGAUUUUGGAGCGGCGGCCCAUAAAUGGUGAGCACGGCCCAAACCCAAUCAAAGCUGGACUUAUUUCGAUUGAUUAGAUAAUUUUUUCUUCCUUUUCUUUAAAUUCGAUAUAUUUUUAUUUUACAAACUCAGAAUGAGAAAAAAAAAAAAGAGAGGAAAAUUAACUGAAUUGAUUGAAUACAUUUUUACAUCUAUUUAUAUCUAUUACAUAAUAGUUUGAUAUAAGUUUAGAAUAAUAUUUACAUAUAUCUGAUAUCUAAUAGAACUGAAUUGAUUUAAGGAAAUUAUUUCCGCUUGAUUGGAACAUAUUAGGCAAUUAUUUUAAUUAAUAUUUUUCUAUCCUACACUUGCACUAUACGAAAUAGUGAUAUUUAUUAUAUCAUUAUUGAAAUAACGAAGAAGGGUUCACCGCUCCGCACCGCACCGCACCAAACACGAGUCGAAACCAUUCGUGGACUAAACUAGAGUUUAGCCCAAACUCCCGUGCAAACCCAUAUUUAGGUGCGGUUUUGGGAUGGUCCCUGUACAGUUUUGUUAUUGCAGCUUGAUCUCUUAAACUCUUUAAAUUAAAAUAAUUUAAUUUUCAAUUUUAAUUUUAUAUAAAACAAUUAUUUAAGUCCCGACGCCUUUAUUUUAUUUUAUUUUAGUCCGUCUUAAUUUCAGAUCAUUUAAAAUCAGGGGCCAAAGUUUGUACGCUAAAAGAUACCAGGGAUUCAUGUAGGAAGCAAAGCAUGAUUUGGGAUAGUACAGGGACUAUUUGUUAAUUUAUGUUAAUUAUUAUUUUACCCUUUAAAUAGCAAUAGAUAUAUAUAUCCACAUCCGUUAAAAUGCUCUUUUCUCUCUCUGUAAAACUCUCGCUCGCUCGCGUUGGAACCCUAUUAAUACUGGGUCCGAAGACGAAGAAAUCUCAGAAGCCGCGAAAAAAAGCCCUCCUCGUUCCUUCCAGUUUUUCCUUAAUUUUCCUCUCGAUUGUUUCUUCAAAACAUUUUCUUCGAUUUUUUGUUUUUUGUUUUUUUACUCACGAGAAUCCGAUUUUUCCCUAGGCCUUGUUCCCCUUUUUGCGUCGAAAGAUUCCCCUGUUUUUUUUUUUUUUUUUCGUUUUUUUCUUUCCCCGCCCCUUUUGUGGUUUCUACUGUGGAUUUGAAUUGUUCGACCGUGUCGAUCCGUUCUCUAGUGGUGGAGAUUGAGCUUUUGAGGAUGGCGAACCAAGGAGGCGAUCCUGUCCCUGGAUCGGGUUCCACCGCCACUGAGGUAUUCUACUAGUAGAUUACUUCGUUACUCAUUAUUCGUGAUAUUUGCUUUAACUUGUGGUAGAUUUUUAGUUUAUUAGUGUAUGAAACUGAGUUACUGUUGAUGGGAUUGAGUUGCUCUGGGUGAGUUUUAGUGUGUGAUUAGCAGCAUUAGAUCUACUUGAAUUUUAGUAAGUCUCCUACUUUGGAAGUUGAAUGCGUCAUUAUUGCUAAAAAGUUGCCUCAUUCAGAUGCUUAUGCGGAGCGCAAGUGGAUGUUUCAUGUCCUAGGAUGUGUUCGAUUUGCAGUGUUGAGUUAAAGUUGCAAUUUUUUUUUCUUUUUCAGAAUAAAUGAUUUUUCAUUUUUGUAAUUGGGAAGUAACCAAGAGCUUAGCAAUCCGAGAAAGAUAUGCGUGGAUAGGUUGAAUACGUGGUGAUGUUGCAACAUUGGCACCAUUUGCUAUUAAGUAAACCUAGUUGUUCAUGUAUUCGCCGGCUCAUGCCAGCAGUCUAAAUAUGUUCUGUUGUUGUGAUGUCUCAAGACGGGGCUGGUUAUUAUUGUGAGUCCUAUAUGGUUGCACAGCAUCUAGUUUAAGGGCCACCUCUUUUUCCUUCUUGUUUUUGGGUUUCCUUGCAUGUUAUGAGAUGGGUGUUGGGCAGUGGUAGCUAGAGUGACUUCACGUUGGUGAGAGAACCGCCCUGUUUGUUGAUUAAAGAGUCCUUGCAUGUGUAAAUUGGAGGUUUGGAAGACUUAUAUUUGGUCUGCACAUUUCGUCGAUCUGAAUUAUGCAUUCUUUGCUAUCCUGAAUGUGUGCUCCUUUCUUUUGAUCCCACCACCCCCCCAAGCAAUAAACUCCUCUCAUACAAGUGCACGCAAAUUUAGGAACUUUCUUUUUAUUUGUAUUGUAUUAACAAACAGUCUUAGCUGGCAGUUAAAUUACCUUAUGUAGUUCUUUUCUUUUAGUAGGGCUUGGUAGCAAUUGUGAAGAAAAGAAAAAGAAAAAUAAAUAAAAGAGAAUCAUAUGGGAAGCUAUUUUAAAUGAGGUAAAAGAUGCGGAUGAAGGUUAGAUACGAGUACAAAUAUGAGGCUAGCCCAAGAGAAACCAGUGCUGUGUAGCCUCUGAUAUGUCGAAGUCUACCUUUUGGUAGUAAUUACUAAUUAUGUUGGAAGUUUUCUUCUAAUCUAUGCAAGAUAUUGAUUCUGCUCAUUAAACAAUUGCAUUGCUAUAUCUAUAGUCUAUAGAUUGUAUUAUGGUCAAGAUUUUAGUAUGUGUAAUUAAGUGUUCUUUAUCUUGGACAUUAAUGUGUCUGAACAACUGAGUAGGUAUGCCUUUUGACCUUUGUGCAAUAAUUUUUGGGGCGUUAGAUUUGAGUUGCUAUGUUAUUGGCAUGCUUAGCACUCUUGAUUGUCAUGUCCAUGCUUUUCCUUAUAAGCUCUAUUCUGAGCUUGCAGAUGUGUGAGAAUUAGUUCGGCGAUUCCCUUAUGUGCUGCAACUUUGAGAAUUUGGUAGCAACAUUUUUAUCUCUUUAUUGUCUUGUUUUGGAUUUAUUUAACUGCCUGGAUUGUAAACAUUGUUAAUGAUUCUGCUAUAACAUGUGAAUUCACCUGUUUCAAUUAAAUGUACUAUUUUGAUUUGUAGAUAUUUGAAUAAUCCUGUGAUUCACAGCUAAUAUAUCUUUAUCAUUACUUCUCUUUGAACUUUCAGGUUAUUGGUGGUGGCCAAGGGCAAACAGUACUAUAUCCUUCUUCAACUCCAAGUCAUCACUCGUGGUCCGCAUCAACGGCUCCUGCGACUGUCUCAUGGAAUUAUAAAACGGAUACCGCGACUGAAAAUGGAUAUCCAUCUAAUUCCGGAUACUACUAUGAUCCACUUAGGGACAUACCCAAUUCAGGAGCUACUCAAACUAAUACAAUAUCCACAAGUCAGAACACACCCAACGGGACACAAGAUUAUUCUGCUUAUGGCUAUACCAAUCCAGAAUAUCAGAAUUAUUAUUAUAACUAUCAUCAGCCCACCCAUGAUUCUUCCUCACAACAAUUAGGAGCAACUCAAAAUCAAAAUACAGGUGCAGCUUACCAGCCUCUUAGCUCAUUUCAGAAUUCAGGGUCUUCUUAUGUGGGUCCUACAAGUUAUUUAGGAACUUACUACAAUACUGGUGAUAAUCAGAAUACGGCGGGGUAUCAGAACAACAGCUAUUAUUAUCAUCAGCCGAAUCCCCCUCAUUCGUACUCAAGCUACUCAUCAUCAGAUGCAAAUUCAGUACAAAGUUCUACGGUUUCUACAAAUCCGGCUUAUUAUCAACAGCAAUACUAUCAAUGGCCUCAGUAUUAUAGUCAGAAUGCGCCUUCUCUUGGUUGUACUCCAGGAACGGAGAAUUCGUCCGUCACCAUGACUGCCACAUCAGCAGUUGGCGUUGGUGGUGGCUACUCAUAUCCAAGCAGCCAACCGCCGCCACCUGGCACUACAUCGUGGAGAAGAGAUGCUGGCACGUCUACUUUACCUUCUUUGCAGGUAUGUUUUCUGUUCUCUUAUUUUUUCAAUUUUGAGAUAUUUACAUGUACAAAAUUAUUAUUUAUGCAUUACAAAAUGUGGAGUUUUGUACAUGACCUUCAAAAGCUUAAUUUCUUACGCGUAUACCCUUUAAUUAUGAAAAUGUCCAUCUUCAAAAAGUACUUGCAUAACCAACUUCUAUGAAUUGUGUGACUUCUGAACUCAAGACAAGGGUGUCUUAGAUGAAAAGGGUAUACAGGAAAUUCAAACUUUUCCAGUGAUGUAUAUGUUAGUAGAUGAUUUGUGGGGACUUCUAUGUAAAAUCUUAUUCUCUUUUUAGGGGAGUUACCUUGUAUGGGUGGUCACUGCACUGAACUGUUGGCCGUUAAACUACAUGAUCGUUAUGCAUAUUUUUGCUAUGUAAAAUGUUAUUCUCUAGGCUUUAUUUGUUGAAUAAAAAAACUAUAAUAUUUCCUUGUUCAUUGUGCGGGGACUUUGCAAUUUUAUAAGGAAUUGUGAUAACUGUAUAUUAUCUCUCAUUUGUAGCAGGAAAAAAGCAAUGCUGCAGCUUAUCAACCAACCGUCGAUCAGGAAGUUAGGGUUCCAGGGUUUCAAAGCCCUUAUAUCCCUCAAAUGCCCUCCUACUCACAAAAUACCAUGAAUACCUCUCCUUUACCAACAAAUAACCCGCAGAAUCAACAGAACCUUCUAUAUUCUCAACCUCUGACCGCACAUGUUCCUCCAGCAAAUCAAGCUCUGCCACCUCAACAUACCGUUGCCACAUUGGACACACAUCGGGUAAGCAAAAUGCAGAUUCCAACAAACCCUAGAAUUGCUUCAGGUCUGGCCUUGGGUGUUGCAAAGAGUGACAAGGAAAAUUCGACAGUCAAUGCGGCACCAAAACCUGCCUAUGUUGGUGUUUCGGUACCAAAGCAUAGCAGCAAAUCAUCUCAAGAAGAUACUGACUCCAUGAUCAAGGUGAUUAUGUUAUGUAUUUGUGCAUUUCAAUUCGAGCAUAUUGUAGGGGCUGUUUUUGCCUGAGUUGGAGCUUUUGCAAAAGUGCUAUUCGACAUCUUUCAUUAGUAAAGCUUUAAAUUUGAGCUUAUGCUAUUGGAACACUAAAGCGCAUUUCACCUUUAUGCCUUCUAAAAACUGCGGACUUUUUGCAUGCCAAAUAUCUGAAUACUACUAGGUGUAGAGUUUUUGUUCCAAAAGGCAAGCUAAAUAAGCACUUGCUGGAGAUGGAUAUGCAAAUAGUUGCUCUCACUUCUCAUAUUUGCUAUGGUGAUGCUACGCCUCCUAACAUCUUAGUUUUGUUUGGUGCUGUGACAAAGCUUUUAAUUUUCUAAAGCUGACCUUUCAAGUCAAGUCCGGCUCUCUCUGUACGCACCUAGUCCUAUAUGUAUAUCCGAGGAUUCUGUUUCAAGUCAAAUUUUCUUUUGAUAACUUUGAAGCAGGCCUGAUCAUUUUUAUCUAGUUUUUUCCUUUUUAUUUUUCAAAUUUAUUGUAGGAAAAUUAGGGAUCUGUUCUCUCAAAUCUUGCAUUUGUUUUUUUUCUUUUGGGUGUUGUUAGGGAGCCUUCCCUGUAGCGCUUCGUGCAUAUGUUGAGCGGACUUUUGCUCGGUGCAAGAAUGAUGCACAAAGGGCUAUCAAUCAGAGUUUAAUGAAGGAGGUGAAACUUGUGUCUUUCAUUUAUUUUACCGUAGCUGAUCUUAUUGCCUUAUAGUGUUUAAUGUAGCAUUUUUUUAAAAAAAAAAGUUUGAACUCAUCAUAUUCCUUACCUUUUGUAGGGAAAUAGUUCAUUCAGCUUGAAAAGCUUUUUCAAAAAAAAUUAUUGUAGGUUUAAGAUGACUUACUGAGAAUAUUUUGUUGCUUGAACCCUUUUUUUCCCCUUCUUUUUCUUUCAGAUGGUUACCAAGGCAUCUGCUGAUGGAACACUUUUUACCAAGAACUGGGACAUGGAACCACUUUUUCCCCUGCCAAUAGACUCCAAUGAGCAGAAGUAAGAAGUUUCCCUGUUUGGACUCAUGACAACAUUUGGCUUCUAUUUUUCAUAGCUGAUGGUUGAUGCCUGAUAUUUACAUGUUUAUUGAUAACUAGUAAAUAUUUCAUGGCUGUGUUAUAUUCUUGUGGUAGAAUUAUGUAAUACUUAGUGUGUUGUAAAACUGUGCUAACUUAUAUUCGAUGCUUUGGUGUUAUAUAACGUAGGAAAUUUAAUGAUUCAUUGAAGUGUUUUAUCAUCUAAAUAAGUGGCAAUUUUGUUUAUUUAAUGAUUGGCAGAAAAAAAUAAAUAAAUCAGGCAUUGCUUUAGCUAAAUAUUUAAGAAAUCUAUAAUAACUGAGGUGUUGCUUGUUUAAAAAAUAUUCAUCAUCAUAUAUAAGAUCUGGAUCAUUCCUCUUGAAGGAGUUUAGACAUAUGUUUUCUGACCCUGAAGCAAACCGCAUGAUUAUCAUUUUUUGCACCCAGUGUUUUUAUGUUACUCUUGAUGCAUCUAUACAGAAGUUGUUAAUUAUUUUCACUUUUUUCUCCUUUUCUUCCAGCAAUUUGCAGAGUUCAGAUCUCCUCUCUUCCUUGUCGAAAUCUAAGAGUUCUGGUCGUCGCACGAAAAGCCGGUGGGAGCCUGCACCAGAAGAAAAGCUAGUUGAGAAGCCGGAACCGGUUACUAAUGAUUUAGCAAAGGUUGCUAGUUGGAGCCGUCCUGAAGCAACCGAACGAGCUGUAAAUCUCUUUUCUUCUCAAUUGAUGAUUGGAUCUUUUAUGUUUUUCUUGUUAUAAUAUAGCAAAGGUUUUAGGAAUUUUUAGAAUGUAGUUAGGUUACAUGUUUCUUGUGUUCUUGUAAUUUGCUUGUCCUAAUUAUUCCCAAUUAUUUUGUUAACUAGAUAUACCUUGGGCUUCUCAGAAUUGCUCUUGAGGAAAGCUAUUCAAUAAAGCACUGGCAGAUUCUACAUCUUACCAAAUUGCUUCCUGCUAAAGCAGAAGUUGAAGCAAAAGCUUUAAUUGGAGCUUCUGCUUUCGGGUUAAAAGCUCAUUUGAGCUCUCCACACAUCUAUCUGUUGAAGUAGAGAAGCUUUUUUCAGAAGCCAAGUUAUAUAGGCACUUAUCGGUUUUACUAGGGCGGUAUCUCAUAUUUUGAUCAGCAUAUUUACUUUGAUUUGUUGUUUGUGAAACACAUUGCAGGGGAGCAACACUUGGAAAUUGGCAAAGUUCCUCCCAUCGCAACAGCAGACGCCUUCAAAUAAAUUUAAUCAGAGGCCAGCAAAAAAGUCAAGAUUUUCUGAACCUUCAAAUGUAACUGAGAAUGGUGAUGCUUCGAGUGAUAGUGAUAAGGAGCAAUCCUUAACCAAAUACUACGCCGGUGCAAUUUCAUUAGCAAAUAAUCCGGAGGAAAAGAAAAGGCGUGAGCAUCGAUUUAAACGGUUUGAAAAGGUGCAGGAUGAUCAAAGAAAUGCUAAGAAUUAUAGGGCUAAAGAUGUUGGAGGUGGGAGCAUAUACACAAGAAGAGCGAGUGCAAUGCUUCUUGCUAAGACCCACGAAGAUGGUGCUAGUAGAGAGGUUGAAGAUAUUGAUUGGGAUGCCCUGACAGUGAAGGGGACAUGCCAGGAGAUUGAGAAACGCUAUCUCCGUCUUACUUCUGCCCCUGAUCCUUCCACAGUACUGAAAUUUACUACGUUGCCUUUUUUUUUCUUUUUUCUUUUUUGGUGUUAAAUACAUCUUUAAAUUUAGUCCUUGAAGUUUGUUCUUCUUUACAAUUUAUGCGACGGUAGCAAAAUUUAAUGAUGAUGCCAACAUAGCAUUUUUUUAAGAUGGUAGAGUAAUGAAAGGAUUUAUUUUUAUGUGGGACAUACUCUGAGGACCAAUUUGUUAAGAUUGAAACUUUAAGACGUAACUAAAAUCUGGGUCAAACUUCAAGGAGAUGUAACUAACUUUUUUCCCCUCUAAAGAGAAAAUUGCAUAUCCAUGAUCGGUUUUCUACUCAGUGCUAGUUUGUUUGUUGUUUGUUACGUGAGUACUUGUUAUUCUUCCACCGAUGCUGCUUCUUACAUGAAAAAAAAAAAAAUUUGCAGGUCAGACCGGAAGAUGUCUUGGAGAAGUCUCUUCAUAUGGUUCAGACAUCUCCAAAGAAUUAUCUUUAUAAAUGUGACCAACUUAAAUCUAUUCGUCAAGACCUAACCGUUCAAAGGAUUCAGAAUGGGCUCACUGUAAAGGUUCUGUUUCGAUACCUAUUUUCUACUUUAAUUUUUUUUCUUUUAUUGUCUUCUACUAUUAUAAAUUUAUUAUAGCCCACUUUGCAGUAAAUUGAGAUCGCCUAAUAACAUUGAAGCUGAAUAAUAUUAUAUCAGAUAUUAAUAUUUUUCUAGUAGAAGUAUUAUUUUGCUGCUUUGGAAAUUAAUUCACAUAUUCUAUUGACAAGUUUAUUGCUUUAUUUCAGGUGUAUGAAACUCAUGCAAGAUUAGCAUUGCAAGCAGGCGAUUUGCCCGAGUAUAACCAGGUUUGUUUAUAUUUAGCUUAUGUCUCAUUGUGUUGUCCUUUUUGUACAUUAUUUAACAGUUAAUAUUGUCUCCUGGGAUAUAGCUAAUGUUGGAAACGUUGUUGUGUGAUCUAUUUAUUAGGCAUAGAUGAACUUAAACUGAUACUGGUAAAGAAGCCUUUGGCUUUUUGUUUAUUGUUUUAUUAAAGAAACUAGGAAGGCUGAAAUUUUAGUUACGCCUGGAGGAGAUCCAAAUAGAGAAGACAUACAGAGAAAGGAGAGAGAAACAGUGAAGGGGAGCCAGUGGUUUUGCAUAAGCAUCUUAAUUACUCUGCCCUUCUCUUUUUUUUGUCCCCAAACUGAAAGAUCCGCUUUAUUUAAUAGGAUUACCAACAGCAAGGAAAUCCUCAGAAGAAAUGUUAGUAACAUACUGGUUUUUGUCAGGCAUAUAAAUAUACCGUUGACUCUCGUUGAUAUAUUGUUUUCUAUUGAUACUUGGACACAAACAUAACUUUUUGGAUUAAUGUGGAUGUCUCAGAUAAAGUACAUUAACAAAAAUAUGAAAUGAAUUUUCUGGUAAAAAUAUCAUGAUUUUUAUAGAUUUACCGCUUUUUUUGGGUAACGUGCAGUGCCAAUCACAGCUAAAGCGGCUAUAUGCUGAUGGAAUCAAGGGAUGUCACAUGGAGUUCUCUGCUUACAAUCUGCUCUGCAUUAUCUUACACUCCAAUAACAAAAGAGAGCUUUCGUCAUUGAUGACAAGGUAUGCAGAAUGUUUAUAUUUUGAACUAGUUUGUUACAUUAAUUACUCUUUUUUUCCCCCUAAUUCUAAUUUCUCAGUAUGCUGAUUUGGUAUGUGUGUGUCUGUGGUCAUCGAUAUGGUGAUUGCUCGCUCUGUUACUAAUUUUUGUUCUUAUUUGUCAAUGUCCUCAUUUUCAGAUUAUCAGCUGAAGCGAAAGAAAAUGAGGCUGUUAAGCAUGCUCUUGCAGUCCAAUCUGCCGUCUCAUCUGGAAAUUACGUGCUAUUUUUCAGAUUGUAUAAGACGGCUCCAAACCUCAAUACCUGCCUUAUGGGUACAUAACUAAUUGAGAUAUAUAUGCCUCUGAAAAUUAUCUGUUUACCUAGAUAUUCCUGCAAAUCUUCUGAUCUUUCAUAUAUGACCUUCAAAAACUCAAUUUCACCUCGAACUUGCAGAGAAAUUCCCUCUCUGAAAAAACUUUUUUCUGAUACAGAACCACUCCCCUCAAUGAACUGACUAACUGCCCAACUUGCAAUAAGGGUAUUUUUUUUCAUAACAAGCUGCAUUUGUGAGGGGGCGUGCAUUAAAAUCCAGAUUUUAUAUGGCCAUGUAUGCAAAAAGGUUGCUAUUAUUAAGUUCUGGGAAUUCCUUUUGCUGCAGAUCUAUAUAUAGAGAAGAUGCGGUUCGAGGCUGUGAAAUGUAUGUCUAAAUCGUACCGGCCAACAGUACCUGUCAAAUACAUUUCGAGGAUUUUAGGAUUCUCGAGAAGUGUACAGGGAGAAGAAAGUGAAGAUAUGGUCAUGGACAAAUCAGAAGAAUGCGAGGAGUGGUUAAGAGCUCAUGGUGCGGUUCUUACAGUGGAAAGUAAUGGGGAACUGCAUCUGGACGCUAAGGUAUAGUGAAAUUUCCAUAUAUUUGUGAUUUUGCGGUCUAAUGUUAAUCCACAAGACAGCAGCUUUAAAAGCACUCCGUUAAUACUCUCUCUCUCUCUCUCUCUCUCUCUCUCUCUCUCUCUCUCUGUGCUUGUCUUAAGUUGAUCUGAUGGGAAAAGCUUUUUUCUACCCAGGCUUCUUCAUCAAGCCUUUACAUGCCAGAGCCGGAGGAUGCUGUAGCUCAUGGAGAUGCAAACCUUGCAGUUGACGAUUUCUUUACGCGAGCUUCUUAGCUAAUGGUACGUUUCUUGUGUAUUCUUUUGUUACAAUGCAGCAGAAGUUCAGGAGAAAGAAGCAAUGGCCUAAGGACCGGCAGUACCCAACAAACCUUUAGAAAGAAAGGGUCAGUUGAAGAUUACCCAGAAGCCUGAUUCAGUUUGAAGCACAACAAUCGUUCUGGAUCCUUCAGCACGCUUCUCUACUAUGCUUUUUCAUUCGGGGGACCAAAGCAUGCUCGAGUUUGGGCGAUAAAGUCACAGUAUUGGUGUCCAUGGGGAAGUAGUAUUACUCAAUUGCUCAUGCAAGCUAUAGAUGCAAAGUGUAAAUGUCCAUUAAUGUUGUCAACCAUUAGAAUCAUGUACAAACAAUAGAGUUUUUGUCGUAUAUUGAAAAACUCAUGUGAAAAAAAAAAUAACACGUUCUCAUUUGCCUCCAGAGAGAAGUUACCUGAACUAUUAUUGGAGGAAAUUUUGCUCAAACAAUAAGAGCUCGUCCUUUUUGAUUAGGACUGUCGGAAAUCGAAUUAUUGUUUGUUGAUUAUUAGAGAUGUAAAUGUAGCAGUUACAUAGAUAAUGUGGUGUUUUUGAACUAAUCAUAUUUGUCUAUUAGGAUUUCUCCCUUCUUGUUAUGAUUUUCAACUAACGUGCAUAGAGGAUGUGGUGCAGUGUAGUUGCUGCGCAGUUGACUUCCUCCGAGGCUAGCCGGUGUCUGAUCGUGCUAAACGUCGAACGUCAAGCCCGGCACGCAGUGCAUUAAGAUUCGUCCUCCGGGGCUGAUCGGACGGCGCUGAGGUGCGUCUCACCAACUGUUCGCAAACUCUAGAGCCCGGCCCAAAUGCGAGGGCUAAUGAGUACUGGGCCGAAGUCGCAAGCAUACUUACGGAGAAGGCAAGAGAGAGGGGGGGUGGGGAGAGAACGGCCCGAGCCCAUAACUGUACUGAGCAUUCAGCCACAAGCUCAGUGGGUAUGUGGCGCGGCCCAGGUGUGGGCCCACGGUGCUGCCGUGCCUCGUAACGGAGGGGGGCGAUUUGAGCACGAAUCUGAAGGAGCACGUGGUGGCCCCUCGUUUGACACGGUGCGUGCGCGCGUGCGUGCACCUAGAGCACCAGAGCUUAGGGACGAGACGACUCUCCGGGGGUUGUUAAUCCUCGAUCUAUUGGGAAACAGAUUGUCCCGUUACUUAAUUAACGCCAAGUAAGAUAACAGGUAAUUAAAUUAAUCAGCAAAUAAACUACCCAGCCGAAAAUUGCUAAUAAAAGAAACUUUAUAUUAUUAUUAU